rnacentral:rRNA from 1 species
GUAGUCCACGCUGUAAACGGUGGGUACUAGGUGUGGGGUCCAUUCCACGGGUUCCGUGCCGUAGCUAACGCUUUAAGUACCCCGCCUGGGGAGUACGGCCGCAAGGCUAAAACUCAAAGGAAUUGACGGGGCCCCGCACAAGCGGCGGAGCAUGCGGAUUAAUUCGAUGCAACGCGUAGAACCUUACCUGGGUUUGACAUGGAUCGGGAGUGCUCAGAGAUGGGUGUGCCUCUUUUGGGGUCGGUUCACAGGUGGUGCAUGGCUGUCGUCAGCUCGUGUCGUGAGAUGUUGGGUUAAGUCCCGCAACGAGCGCAACCCUUGUUCACUGUUGCCAGCACGUUAUGGUGGGGACUCAGUGGAGACCGCCGGGGUCAACUCGGA